CCCACAUGCCCGGGUAGGAGUGGUUGAGGCGCAUGCAGAAAGGGGCGCUCCCGUGGCCCCGGGUCUCCUUCAUGUUGUCUUCGAGACGCUUGUGCCAGGACCAGACCCUCCUCCUGAAGCUCUUUUGUAACCCUGGCAAGUGUAACUCACCUGACCCUGAGCAAUCAAGGCAAACCACUCUCCUACCGCGUAGAUGAGCAUGAACACUUCCGCCUUUCUACUUCGGGACUCCAGAAUGGUCAUGGGCAGGCCAAGGUCCUCUGUCCUCAGGGGCGCAGUGAAACUAUAAAACGAACAGUGCCUCGAGACUUAAGCGAACAUCCUUCAAGAUCCUGUUGCUAUUAUUACUCCCCUUUUAAAGUGAGAUAACUUAAGGUUCCAUGAAGUUAAAAGAUGUGCCGAAGUCUUGCAUCAGUUUUCCAGUCUCCGUCUUCUUAUCUGAAGCACAGUGUUCUUUACGUGGAUACCGUAACCACUCUCCACAGUGGUUUUUCUCGCCUUGAACUCCUAUCUCUGGCACUUUUUGCCGAUAAGGUUGCAAUUUCUCCACCGCUAUCUACCAUGAUAUAGUCAUGAGGAUUGGGCAUCACUCCAGUUCAAAAGGCCAGUAGGUAUUAAUUCUUACCCCUUUCAGUUACAGUUUUUUGAGAUUAAUUUUUCUCCCAUUUCUGUAUGCUUCUGAAUGCUUCUGGUGAAUUUAAAUCAUUCUUUUAAAUUUUUAAGUAGACUUUUAUAAUUGUUAUCUACAGGGCGGUGUAAUAUUGGCAUAAAGAUACACAUACAGUUCAACGGAAUAGUACACUAAGAUAGAUUAAAUAAACUAUUUCAUUGAACAGUACGUGUAUCUUUAUACAGAUAUGUAGCUAGAUAUCUGUUAUAUAUGUACAGAUGGAUAGAGGUAUAAAGAUACAUAAACAGACGUGUAGUUACAAAGAUAUAUAUACACACAUACAUACAUAAAUACAAAUUCAAUUAAUAUUCAGCAAAGUUGCUAAGGUAAUUCAAUAGAGAAAUGCCUUUUCAACAAAUGGUGCUGGAAAAAUUGGAUACCUGUAUGCAAAUAAAAAUGAACAUAAACCUUAUCCCACACCACACACAAAAUGGAUCAUACAUUAAAUGUUAUUACAUUUAAUCUUAAAAUGAUAAAUCUUCUAGAUUAAAACAGGAGAAAAAUCCUUGUGAUUUCUUUACCGUCUCAUCGUUACUGGAGGCAUUCUUGUAACUUGUUUUUUUGUCUUUUGUUUUUAAACUUCAAACAAUACGUGCAUAGAAAUUCUUCACAAUCUUCCUAAAUACCAAGAAUAAUCUAACAAAUUCUUUCUGAAUGUUUGGAUUAUUUAUAAUGUUUGCUAUAAGCAGCAGUAGUACAAUAACAUUCUUGUACAGAUUGGGUGUGUAUUUGUGGGGCUUAUUUUUACGUGACAAAUCCUUAGAUGUGGACUCCUAUACACUGAUGGGUCCCAAAUUUAUAUCUACAGCUAAUACUCCUCCUUUGAAUUCCAGCCUCAUAUAUCCGAUUGACUAUUUGUCAUACCAUUUGGAUAGCCCAUUGACACCUCGAUAUGUUCAAAUGGAACUUCAAAUUUUCUUCCCCACUCCUGGUUCUACCUGAGUCUUCCUCGUUGAUGUAUAUAAUACUACCAUCCACCUACUCAAGCUAGAAAUCCAAUGGCCAUCCUUGAGUCUUUUUUUCCAUUAUCUCUGUCUUCCAAUACAUCAUCCAGUUAUAUUAAUUCUAAUUCCGAAAUAUAUCUCAUAUACAUUCACUUGUCUCCAUCUCCACAGCUACCACCCUGGCUGAGGUCACUAACAUCGUCUACCUAAUCUACAACAAUUGUUUUUACUUGCCUUGAUUUUAUCAUUUUAAAUUAUGUUUAAACAGUAUAAUAAAAUAAGCAAAAGAAAAAAGUUUAAACAGCAUUUAGAUUACAUUUUAAAUGGUUAACAAUAUCUUCUACACCUCUCCUUAUUUUCACUCCCAAAUCAACCACUAUAAACAGGUUGGGGUGUAUUCUUUCAGAUUUUUCUUUAUGCUAAAAGAUAUAAUCACUCAAAAUACAUGAGUUCCUGCUUUUCUGUUUGCCAGCCCUAUAUACUAUCGCUGUUUAAAAGACUUACAAUCUGAGUGAAAUAUAUUUUGCUGUUAAUUUGUGUAUCCCUAACUCAUGAAGUUAAAUCCGUUUUUACAAAUCUAUUAAUUAGCUUUCUCUUUGAUUAACUGAUCUUCGUGCCUUUUCUAUUAGAUUAUUAUUAUGCUAUUAAUUUGCAGGAACUCUUUGGAUAGAGAUACUGCCUGUUUCCCAUUUUCCUACCUCAUCAUUUCUGUUUUUACUUUUUUUGUCAUGUAUAUUACCAUAUGCAAAAAAUUCAUUCAGAAAAAUGUUCAUCUUUUUCUUUGUUUUUUAGGAUUGCUGCUUAAGAAAGUUAAGGUUUCUUCUUCCUAAUUCCUACACCCAAGUAACAUUUUGGAAUAUUUUUGCUUUAAUAUGCAUAUAUUUAACCAAAUAGUUUUAAAUUUUUACAUUUUAGCAAAUAGUAAUGAAGUGAAAGUUUAACUUUGUUUUCUGAUGGAUUAUCGUAUGGAUAAUUAGCACCAUUUAUUAAGUAAGUCAUAAUUCCUCUCUUAAUUGAAAUACCAUUUUGUCAUAUAUUAAAUUUCUAUAUAGCUUAGAAUCUAGAUCUUGUUUUCUAAACAUCAUUCUCCAAUAAUAAUGACCAGGAGUCUCUGGAGGAAUGGAUGAUUUAUGGCUGUGGCAGGGAAAAUACAAGAUGAGCUUAGAGCAUUUUGUAUUACCAAAAAUUAAAGAGAUGUUCAAAAGACAAAAGAAUGAUGAUAUGUUAAAGAGACACAGGAGCCAACCUGAAAGAAUUCCCAAUGUCCAACUGCAACAAUUUGAACAACAAAAUAUAUAAUAUUGAAUAUAAUCCAAAUAUAAAAUAUACAUAAGCCCAUACUGAUGUAAAUUAUUGAGUAAAUAGAUGGGAAAGUAGCAGCAAACCUCUGUAAUAUUUAUAGAUACUCCCCCCUCCAGAAAGUGAUGCAUAAUCCCCCUCCUCCCUUGAUGGUAUGCUUGACUUCAUGACUUUCAUGUAUGUAUUGCAUUUUGCUUUAUUGAGCUUCACAGAUACUGCCUUUUCUACAGAUUGAAGGUUGGUGGCAACCCCGCAUUGUCAGAGAAUGCUUAGUAUUUUUUAACAAGAGUACUUUAAAAUUAAGUGUGGCCUGGAACCAAAACUGCAGUAACUCUGGGUAUGCCUGUACUUCCAAAGAACACAGUAUGAAAAGAAAAAACAAAACAGUACCUUUACAAAGGAGAAAUCUGGCACACACUGUCUUAACCAAGUGAUGGUUAACAUCACCAGCAAUGUCAUAAAGGUAUUUUGCACCUCCAUUGGUAUGGUGUGAUAAGGAGGGCACUUUACUCCUGUAGUACUUUAUCCAAAACCCAUAACCCCAGUCUAAUCACGAAAAAAAAAAAGUCAUAAACCCCCCAGUGAGGGUCAUUCUACAGGAUACCUGGCCAGUAAUCAAGAUUGUUAAAGUCAUGAAAAACAAGGAUGAGAAACUGUUACAGACCAGAAGAAAAUGAGACCUCACUAUGUGUAAUGUAUUACCCUCUACUGGGUCCUGGAAAAGAGAGAGGACACUAGUGGAAAAACGGGUGGAAUUCAAAGAAAAUCUGGAGUGAACAGUAUUGUGUGAAUAUUGGUUUCUUGGUUUUUACAAAUGUGUUAUGGUAAUGCAAGAUAUUAACAAUGUAGGGGCAUAUGGGAACUCUGUUAUCAUCUUUGCAAGUUUUCUAUAUAUCCAAAAUUAUUCCCCAAAUGAAGUUAUUUAAAAUUCCUAUAUAGGCAUGUAUCCUUUUCUAUAUGUCCUUAUUUUGUUCCACUAAGUUAUUUCUAUUUCUAGGUGAGUACUAUUUUGUUUUGAGGUAUAACAUUCAUACAGUGAAGUGCAAAAUCUUAAUUGUAUAGAAGUGAUUUUUUUUAAAACAUACACACAGUUGUAACUACCAUCCAGAUUUAUAUAUAUACAAUUUUAGCAACUUCUGUUUCUUGUGCCCCAACUCAGUCAAUAACCAGCACCGUGCCCCAGGAGGUAAUCACUGUCUUGACUUCUAUCACAAUAGCUAAACAUCUGUUCUUGAACAUCAUAUAAAUGGAGCCAUACAGUAUGUACUUGUGUCCUAGGUAGUGUAUUUCCAUAAAUGUUCCAUGUGCAUUUGAAAAGAACAUGUAUUCUAUUAUUAGGUAGGGUGUUCUAUGAGUAUCAAUUAGGUCAAGUUGACUGUUUUGCAAGUUUUUAUCUCUUGAUUUUCCUACCUACUGUACAAACAUUGAGAAGAGUCUAAUCUCUAAUCAUGGAUUUCCCUAUUUUUGUCAUGCAAUACUAUCCAUCUUUUGCUUCAUAUAUUUUGAAGACUAAUACAUAUACGUUAUGCUUUUGUGAUCAAAUGACAUUAUGAAAUGAUAUUCUUUAUCCCUAGUAUCCUCUGCUCUCAAAUCUACUUUUCUGAAAUAUUACCAGUCCAGUUUUCUUUUAUUUUUUCAUCCUUUAACAUUUAACCUAUUUGUGUCUUUAUGUUUACAGUGGGUUUCUUUUAAGAGCAUAAAGAUCUUGCAUUAUCCAGUGUUGACAAUCACUACUUCAUAAUUUGGGGUGUUUGAUCAGUUAUAUCUAACGCAAUCAUUGACGUGGUUGAGUUUAAACCUACAUGCCUAUUUGUUUUCUGUCACAUUUCUUCUUUCUGCCUCCUGUGUGGAGUAUUUGUGACUCCCCUCUUUAAGCAUAUGUAACAUCUUGGUUAGGUUCAGUGGUUGUUUUUAUAGCACAUAUCUUAUCAGACCACCUUCAAGAGAUGUACACCAGUUCCGUGUAUAACCACCUUGCAGUAGUGCACUUCCAUUUCUCGCCUCUUGACCUGAGCUAUUUUUGCUGUGUAUUUUACUUGUAUAUAAGUCUCACAAAUGUAUUUGCUUUAAAGUCAAUUACCUUUUAAAGAGAUUUAAUUAGUAAGAAAAAACCUAUUUAGCCAUGUAGCACUUUCUGUGCUAUUAGUGUAGACCCAAUUUUCAUGUUUUCUUCCACCAAAAUAUCUUUUUAAUACUUUUUAAUUAGAUAUGUUGUGAAUUUCAUCAGCUUUUGAGUAGCUGAAAAGUUGGUUAUUUUUAUAUUUUUGAAAGAGUAAAUACAGAACAGGCUGAUAGUGAUUUUCAGUACUUUUAAAGAUACUGCACGACCCUCCAGUUUGCAUUGCUUCUGACAGUGCUAGCCAUCAUUCUUACCAUUGUUUCUGUAUAAACGUCUUUUUCUCUGGCUGUUUUUUUUUCUUCAUCACAGGCUUUAAGCAAUUUGAUUAAGAACAGUUUUGCUCUGAUUUUCUUCAUUUCUGUUUAUAUCUUGAUAUGGAAUACUUGGUGAAAAGAAUUUAAACUCAAGGACUUAAAAGGAUUUAAACUCAUUUUCUUAUUAACUGGGAAAAAUACUGAAAUAACUACAAGUGAAAUGUCCCAAUCUUCUCUCAGCGCAUUUUCCAUCCUAGGAUUUAGUACAGGUGCUACAGCACCGAGUAUGUAGCCGGAGAAGCAUUUAUGUGGUCUUUUUUUUUUUUUUCUAGUAGAGAAUGAAUUAAACACUUUUUGACUUUUCCUUUUUGGUGAUUCCAAUGUAUUAAUAACAGUGUAACAUAGGGCAAUGCAAUUUUGUAAUUCCAAUCACACCAUUUACAAAGGUGCAACUAUUUCAUAUUCUCUAAUCAUGGUCACUAGUUUUCACAUCAACAUUCUUAAGCUCUAACAGCCAUUUUUCAAAUUACAAGAAGGCAGAUUUAUCUUCCCUGCUUGGAAUUCUGAUGUGAAGUAUUAAGUCAAAGAGGUAAAGUCACUAAGAGGAUUAAUAUAAUGAAAACUUAUCAGACUUGUUUCAUCCAAAACAGUUCCAUUCUAUAGGUUUUUCAUUUCAAUGAGCAAAGAAAUAACUCAUAAGUUACACAUUUUUUCUAAUAAAUGUACAAAUCAUUUUUGCCAAUAAACUUCACUGGUACAGUUA